UAAAAGGUUUUAAGCAGAAAAGACACACAAUCUAGAAAGAUCAUUAUGGCUGCUGUAUGAAAGACAAACUGUGCAGGGAGGGGCUCA